AUACGGAGGAUCCGAGCGUUAUCCGGAUUUAUUGGGUUUAAAGGGAGCGUAGGUGGAUUGUUAAGUCAGUUGUGAAAGUUUGCGGCUCAACCGUAAAAUUGCAGUUGAAACUGGCAGUCUUGAGUACAGUAGAGGUGGGCGGAAUUCGUGGGGUAGCGGUGAAAUGCUUAGAUAUCACGAAGAACUCCGAUUGCGAAGGCAGCUCACUAGACUGUUACUGACACUGAUGCUCGAAAGUGUGGGUAUCAAACAGGAUUAGAUACCCUGGUAGUCCACACAGUAAACGAUGAAUACUCGCUGUUUGCGAUAUACAGUAAGCGGCCAAGCGAAAGCAUUAAGUAUUCCACCUGGGGAGUACGCCGGCAACGGUGAAACUCAAAUGAAUUGACGGGG
rnacentral:rRNA from 1 species